UACGUAGGGUCCAAGCGUUGUCCGGAAUUAUUGGGCGUGAAGAGCUCGUAGGCGGUCUGUUGCGUCGGUUGUGAAAACCCGGGGCUCAACUCCGGGCCUGCAAUCGAUACGGGCAGACUAGAGUUCGGUAGGGGAGACUGGAAUUCCUGGUGUAGCGGUGAAAUGCGCAGAUAUCAGGAGGAACACCAAUGGCGAAGGCAGCUCGCUGGGACGGUACUGACGCUGAGGCGCGAAAGCGUGGGGAGCAAACAGG
rnacentral:rRNA from 1 species